rnacentral:tRNA from 1 species
GUACCGGUAGACCGACUCGUCGAGUUCGCCGAUGCCGGCGGCGCCGAGGGAGGUGACCGUCAUCGCAGGAUCGUGGCCCAUCGGUGCC